UACAGAGGUCCCAGGCGUUGUUCGGAUUCAUUGGGCGUAAAGGGCGCGUAGGCGGCCUUCUAAGUCGAACGUGAAAUCCCCGGGCUCAACCCGGGAACUGCGUCCGAUACUGGAAGGCUUGAAUCCGGGAGAGGGAUGCGGAAUUCCAGGUGUAGCGGUGAAAUGCGUAGAUAUCUGGAGGAACACCGGUGGCGAAGGCGGCAUCCUGGACCGGCAUUGACGCUGAGGCGCGAAAGCCAGGGGAGCAAACGGG
rnacentral:rRNA from 1 species